rnacentral:rRNA from 1 species
AUACGGAGGAUGCAAGCGUUAUCCGGAUUUAUUGGGUUUAAAGGGUGCGUAGGCGGUUUGCUAAGCGGGAGGUGAAAUGCCGGCGCUCAACGUCGGAAGUGCCUCCCGAACUGGUGGACUUGAAUGACUCUGCCGUGGGAGGAAUGUGUAGUGUAGCGGUGAAAUGCUUAGAGAUUACACAGAACACCGAUUGCGAAGGCAUCUCACGAAGGGUUGAUUGACGCUGAGGCACGAAAGCGUGGGGAUCAAACAGGAUUAGAUACCCUGGUAGUCCACGCAGUAAACGAUGAUGGCUAACCGCUGGGCUUAUCAGUUCAGUGGCCAAGCGAAAGCGAUAAGCCAUCCACCUGGGGAGUACGGCCGCAAGGUUGAAACUCAAAGGAAUUGACGGGG